rnacentral:tRNA from 1 species
CGGUGUAGCUCAGCGGUAGAGCAACCGCCUCGUAAGCGGUAGGCCGCCGGUUCAAAUCCGGCCACCGGCUCCAGC